rnacentral:pre_miRNA from 1 species
UGUGUACUCCCUCCGUUCCAAAAUACUUGACUUCCAUUUGUCCAAAAAUGGAUGUACCUAUAUACUAAGACAUGUCUAGAUACAUCUAUAUUUUGACAAAUAGAAGGCAUGUAUUGUGUAACGGAGGGAGUAGAAU